CCUACGGGAGGCAGCAGUGAGGAAUAUUGGUCAAUGGUCGGGAGACUGAACCAGCCAAGCCGCGUGAGGGAUGAAGGUACAGAGUAUCGUAAACCUCUUUUGUCAGGGAACAAAGUCGGGGACGUGUCCCCGGAUGAGUGUACCUGAAGAAAAAGCAUCGGCUAACUCCGUGCCAGCAGCCGCGGUAAUACGGAGGAUGCGAGCGUUAUCCGGAUUUAUUGGGUUUAAAGGGUGCGCAGGCGGUCUGUUAAGUCAGCGGUCAAAGCGCGGGGCUCAACCCCGUCCCGCCGUUGAAACUGGCAGUCUCGAGUGGGAGAGAAGUAUGCGGAAUGCGCGGUGUAGCGGUGAAAUGCAUAGAUAUCGCGCAGAACUCCGAUUGCGAAGGCAGCAUACCGGCGCCACACUGACGCUGAGGCACGAAAGCGUGGGUAUCGAACAGGAUUAGAUACCCUAGUAGUC
rnacentral:rRNA from 1 species